rnacentral:antisense_RNA from 1 species
UGCCACAUUGGCACCUAUGGGGUGGAGCCAGGCAGGGCAGGAGCUGAGAACAGCCCCAGCCUUCAGGGGCCGCCCAGCCUCCAUCCGACUGCCUGGCCUCAAGCUGGGAGGAGGACCCCUGGGGAUGCAGCAUAUUUUAAGAUGUCGGUUUUAGGCAUGGACAUUUGAAUGACCAGAAUGUGUGGGCUGCAGGCUGGGGUGGGAGAGCUGAUGUCUGCAGGGCAAGAGAAUGCUGGUCACCAGGAGGCUCUUCCUGCAGUCAUUGUGAUUUUUAGGGUCAGAAAAUUAUUUGGAAAUAUUUUUUAUUCUGCAAAUAUUUUCUAUACAUUUUUUCUUGAGUGUUUUCCCUUAGUAUUUAGUAAAACUUCUUUUGAAAAUGCUGGCCUGCUGCACCUGUUCUCAGAGGGGCAUGAGAAAAGAGGAUUCUCUUCUUUGGGCUGUGGGAAGCCCCCUGAGAUGUUGGAAGCAGGGCAGGGCAGGAGAACCCAGAGAGGGCACAGAACUGUGGAUGAGAGCUGGGAAAGCCAUCCCGCCUCCCCAGGGGGUCUCCGAGGAGCGCUGCUGUGGCCAAACCUGGAGGGCCACUUUGUGCUUUCUGUUUAGGUGAUGGGAUGCUUCUAUCUCCUCAGCACCCUACACCAAAUCCCGUUAUUGCCAGAUGAUGUGCCUAAUGAUCAAAUUGCUUGGAACUCCUAAUAAUAAAACCUUAAAUCUA